rnacentral:rRNA from 1 species
UUACCGAGUGAGGGCCCUCUGGGUCCAACCUCCCACCCGUGUUUAUUUUACCUUGUUGCUUCGGCGGGCCCGCCUUAACUGGCCGCCGGGGGGCUUACGCCCCCGGGCCCGCGCCCGCCGAAGACACCCUCGAACUCUGUCUGAAGAUUGUAGUCUGAGUGAAAAUAUAAAUUAUUUAAAACUUUCAACAACGGAUCUCUUGGUUCCGGCAUCGAUGAAGAACGCAGCGAAAUGCGAUACGUAAUGUGAAUUGCAAAUUCAGUGAAUCAUCGAGUCUUUGAACGCACAUUGCGCCCCCUGGUAUUCCGGGGGGCAUGCCUGUCCGAGCGUCAUUGCUGCCCUCAAGCACGGCUUGUGUGUUGGGCCCCGUCCUCCGAUCCCGGGGGACGGGCCCGAAAGGCAGCGGCGGCACCGCGUCCGGUCCUCGAGCGUAUGGGGCUUUGUCACCCGCUCUGUAGGCCCGGCCGGCGCUUGCCGAUCAACCCAAAUUUUUAUCCAGGUACCUCGAUCAGUCG